UACGGGAGGCAGCAGUGAGGAAUAUUGGUCAAUGGGCGCAAGCCUGAACCAGCCAUCCCGCGUGAAGGAAGACGGCCCUAUGGGUUGUAAACUUCUUUUGUACAUGGAGAACGUUUCUUACGAGUAAGAGAGUGACGGUAAUGUACGAAUAAGCAUCGGCUAACUCCGUGCCAGCAGCCGCGGUAAUACGGAGGAUGCAAGCGUUAUCCGGAUUUAUUGGGUUUAAAGGGUACGUAGGUGGCCCGGUAAGUCAGUGGUGAAAACCUGUCGCUUAACGAUAGGCGUGCCAUUGAUACUGCUGGGCUUGAGUACAGAUGAGGUAAGCGGAAUGUGUAGUGUAGCGGUGAAAUGCAUAGAUAUUACACAGAACUCCGAUUGCGAAGGCAGCUUACUAAACUGACACUGACGCUGAGGUACGAAAGCGUGGGUAGCGAACAGGAUUAGAUACCCUGGUAGUCCACGCCGUAAACGAUGUUCACUCGCUGUAUGCGAUACACAGUAUGCGGCCAAGCGAAAGCGCUAAGUGAGCCACCUGGGGAGUACGCCGGCAACGGUGAAACUCAAAGGAAUUGACGG
rnacentral:rRNA from 1 species